GCUGGGCAUGGUGGUGCAUGCCUGUAGUCCCAGCUACUAGGGAGGCUGAGAAAGGAGGAUCACUUGAGCCCAGGAGAUUGAGGCCUCAGUGAGCUGUGAUUGCACCACUGCACUCCAGCCUAGGCAACAGAGUGAGAUCCAGUCUCAA
rfam:Gorilla gorilla gorilla genomic chromosome, chr16, whole genome shotgun sequence